UUAAGUUCAGCGGGUAUUCCUACCUGAUCCGAGGUCAACCUGAGAAAAAUUGUGGUUGAGACCGAGCCGGGAGACCGCCACGAUGCGUGCUGGAGAGCUCGCUGCACCAGGGGUCAACAGACUCCGCCACUACAUUUCCGGCCCACCGACACGCGAUGAGGCCUAAUGACAAGCCGGGCUUGAGGGUUGAUAAUGACGCU
rnacentral:misc_RNA from 1 species